UCCCUGGUGGCUCAGACGGUAAAGAAUUUGCCUGCAAUGCAGGAAACCCAGGUUUGAUUCCUGGGUAGGGAA
rnacentral:tRNA from 1 species